rnacentral:rRNA from 1 species
GAUGAACGCUGGCGGCGUGCCUAAUACAUGCGAGUCGAGCGAACAGACGAGGAGCUUGCUCCUCUGACGUUAGCGGCGGACGGGUGAGUAACACGUGGAUAACCUACCUAUAAGACUGGGAUAACUUCGGGAAACCGGAGCUAAUACCGGAUAAUAUAUUGAACCGCAUGGUUCAAUAGUGAAAGACGGUUUUGCUGUCACUUAUAGAUGGAUCCGCGCCGCAUUAGCUAGUUGGUAAGGUAACGGCUUACUAAGGCAACGAUGCGUAGCCGACCUGAGAGGGUGAUCGGCCACACUGGAACUGAGACACGGUCCAGACUCCUACGGGAGGCAGCAGUAGGGAAUCUUCCGCAAUGGGCGAAAGCCUGACGGAGCAACGCCGCGUGAGUGAUGAAGGUCUUCGGAUCGUAAAACUCUGUUAUUAGGGAAGAACAAAUGUGUAAGUAACUAUGCACGUCUUGACGGUACCUAAUCAGAAAGCCACGGCUAACUACGUG